rnacentral:rRNA from 1 species
UACAGAGGUCCCGAGCGUUGUUCGGAUUCACUGGGCGUAAAGCGCGCGCAGGCGGAUGUUUAAGUAGGGCGUGAAAUCUCCCGGCCUAACUGGGAGGGGUCGCUCUAGACUGGGCGUCUUGAGGACUGCAGAGGUGGGUGGAAUUCCUGGUGUAGUGGUGAAAUGCGUAGAGAUCAGGAGGAACACCGGUGGCGAAGGCGGCCCACUGGGCAGUCACUGACGCUGAGGCGCGAAAGCUCGGGGAGCGAA